rnacentral:rRNA from 1 species
AACGAACGCUGGCGGCAUGCCUAACACACGCAAGUCGAACGAGAUCUUCGGGUCUAGUGGCGCACGGGUGCGUAACGCGUGGGAAUCUGCCCUUUGGUUCGGAAUAACAGGUGGAAACGACUGCUAAUACCGGAUGAUGACGAAAGUCCAAAGACUUAUCGCCAGAGGAUGGGCACGCGUAGGAUUAGCUAGUUGGUGUGGUAAAGGCGCACCAAGGCGACGAUCCUUAGCUGGUCUGAGAGGAUGAUCAGCCACACUGGGACUGAGACACGGCCCAGACUCCUACGGGAGGCAGCAGUGGGGAAUAUUGGACAAUGGGCGAAAGCCUGAUCCAGCAAUGCCGGGUGAGUGAUGAAGGCCUUAGGGUUGUAAAGCUCUUUUGCCGGGGAUGAUAAUGACAGUACCGGGAGAAUAAGCUCCGGCUAACUCCGUGCCAGCAGCCGCAGUAA